rnacentral:rRNA from 1 species
GCGAAAACUUUACAAUGCGAGCAAUCGUGAUAAGGGAACUCCGAGUGCCCGUAAACGCGGGCUGUCCAUCUGCUUAAAAAACAGGUGAAGAAAGGGCCGGGCAAGACCGGUGCCAGCCGCCGCGGUAAUACCGGCGGCUCGAGUGGUGGCCACUAUUACUGGGCUUAAAGCGUCCGUAGCUUGGUUGUUAAGUCUCUUGGGAAAUCUGUCGGCUUAACCGACAGGCGUUUAAGGGAAACUGGCAAUCUAGGGACCGGGAGAGGUGAGAGGUACUCCAGGGGUAGGAGUGAAAUCCUGUAAUCCUUGGGGGACCACCUGUGGCGUAGGCGUCUCACCAGAACGGCUCCGACAGUGAGGGACGAAAGCUGGGGGCACGAACA